rnacentral:lncRNA from 1 species
AAUCUAGGAUGGAGCAAGCACUGCUGGCCCACCAUGUCUGUGAGAGAACCUAAAGGCGCCUCCAGGAGGAAGCAUCUGCAUCUUUUCCUUGUUUUUUGUUUUUUUUUUUUUUGGAGGCAGGGUCUCGCUCUGUCACCCAGUGGGGAGUGCAGUGGUGCCAUGAACGCUCAUUGCAGCCUCAGGCUGGUCUCCGACUCCUGGGUUCAAAUGAUCCUCCUGUCCCAGCCUCCCAAAAUGCUGGAAUUACAGGCAUGAGUCACUGCGUCCGGCUGCUUUUCCAUUUUUCAUCGUAGCUAAUAUCCAGUACAACAUUGAACAGAACCAACUAGAACAUCCAGUGCAACGUUGAACAGUAUUAGCCAGAACAUCCAGUACAACGUUGAACAGAACCAACUAGAACAUCCAGUACAACGUGGAACAGAACCAGCUAGAACAUCCAGUACAAUGUGGAACAGAACCGGCUAGAAUAUCCAGUGCAACGUGGAUCAGAACCGGCUAGAACAUCCAGUGCAACGUGGAACAGAACCGGCUAGAACAUCCAGUGCAACUUUGAACAGAAGUGUUGAAAGCAGACACCCUUGCUUGUUUCCUAUUAUAGGGGAAAAACACUCAGUCUUUCACCGUUCUGUAGGAUGUUAGCUAGGGUUUUUUUAAAAUGCCCGUUAUCAAGUUGAGGAAAUUCCCUUUUAUUCCUAGAUUGUUGAGAGUUUUUGCCAUGAAUAGACG